UUUUAACCACUGGCUUGUGGUACUUUGAAAAUCACCAGGGGCUGUCAGAGUUGGGUCCUCUGAAAAAUUUACAGUGCUAAAUCAGAGCAUAUGCUGUGAGGGAAAGGAAAAAAAAUGCUUCAAGACUGGAGCAAGUACAGUAUCUGUCUGCCCCCUAGUGUAAGGCUUUCAUCUGCCUAAAACUGAACCUGCCAUGAAAAUAUGAGAUCUUAAAGGGAAAGCACUUUUGGCUCACGUAUGCAUGCAAGAAAGAAACUUAUGUACAUAUUAAUCAGAUUAACUCCAAAGGAUUUCAGAUUAAUUGGUUUGGACACCAUCUGAGUGCACAGUAAACUUUGUGCUUUGUGUAUCCUGAGAGCCAGUGCUGGGUGGAUAUACAGGGGCUGUGUUUCCAUCAGAUCAGUGCAGCGCUGGAUGAAGACCAUUCCUUUUCAGCAACAGCACUGAGAAAAUCUAUCCUUGUCUUCAUCAGAAGUCAAGGCAACCCUAACAGGACAAGGCAUUGGCACAGACAGACUCUGCAAUGUCGUCCAUGGAGAGUUGUACAAAAAAUCUUGAAACAGAUGUUGCGGAGACCCAUAGGAUGUGGCAGACACGUUAAUUUCUGAAUCAACAGUCUGAAGACAAAUACAUUAACAUGCAGUAAAGAGGUAAACCUUGGAUGACUUCUGGUAAGGAGAGGAGAUCCACUCAUGGCAUCCAAGCUACAGCUAACCAGAGUAUGGUCUGUGUUCUGGAGGCACUUACCAGAUGGCCGUCCGCCGCAUGGUCACGUCAGAUCAGGAGUAGAACAGCAAACA